AAUCAACGCUGGCGGCGUGCCUAACACAUGCAAGUCGAACGCGAAAACCCCGAAGGGGUGAGUAGAGUGGCAAACGGGUGAGUAACGCGUGGGUGACCUGCCUUCGAGCGGGGGAUAACGUUCCGAAAGGGACGCUAAUACCGCAUAACAUCCUGCCUUUGAACAGGUGGAGAUCAAAGCUGGGGAUUCGCAAGAACCCGGCACUUGAAGAGGGGCUCGCGUCUGAUUAGCUAGUUGGUGAGGAACGGCUCACCAAGGCAACGAUCAGUAUCCGGCCUGAGAGGGCGGACGGACACACUGGGACUGAGACACGGCCCAGACUCCUACGGGAGGCAGCAGUGGGGAAUUGUUCGCAAUGGGCGCAAGCCUGACGACGCAACGCCGCGUGGAGGAUGAAGAUUUUCGGAUACGUAAACUCCUGUCGAAUGGGACGAAAGGUCGCGGGUUAACACCCCGUGAUCCUGACGGUACCGUUAAAGGAAACCCGGCUAACUCCGU
rnacentral:rRNA from 1 species